GCGGGGGCGGGGUGGAGUCGGCACCCAGGGGUAAGUACAGUGGGCACCAUCUGGAGCCCGGAGAAACCCCAGUGGGUAGGAAGGCUCUAGGGUGUGUGCAGGGGCAGCAGAGGCCGGGGUGUCGAGGUUAGGGCGGUGAGUAGCUGCACCGAUCGCCACGUGGCCGGGAGGAGAAAUGCAAACAAGGAAACCGAGGGAAGGGGGAGGGGGUGAGUCAUUGCUGCCCCACCCGGGAGGGAAAUCCGGGCUGGGGCCGCUUCCCGGCCGGGGGCGUCCUGCCUCCUGUUUCGGUUCAGGGUCUCUAGCAUCCCCGGGGAGGGACUGGGCGACUUUCCCAUGGGGAAUCCCGCUACUGAGCUUCACACCGUUGUGUUCCCAGACACACGCAGCCGGAGCGGCGCGGGUAAGGAAAUUGUGGCUGGAGAGGAAGGAGCGCGCUCCAGUUUUUCAUGGAUGCGUGGUGAGGGACAGAGUUAAGGCCCCAGUGGGGAGGUUGCGUUUCUGGCAGAGCUUUGUGGAAAGUGGGUUUAAGAGAGCCACGCCCCCCCCCCCCACCGCCGGCUUCCUUGUGGCAGGACAGGUGGAAGCAGAGACCUAGAUUCCAUCCUGCCAGACCGGCUGCGGACUAAGUACAGAAGUCCUCCACCUCUCCAGGCCUCAGUUUCCCCAGCCGCACAGAUAGCCAAACGCCACCCUCUGUUGCACUCAUGCUCUGGAGAGGACAGAAACUGUGACCCUGGGACAGCGACUUCCGUGGCGCCCCAUAAUUGUAAUUGCUCAGGACGAUAAUAAGGGUUUAGAAGAAGGCUCACAACCCGCCCCCAGCUUUCUAGGACUUACUCCCUUUUUACCCCCUCUCAACUUCUUUCCCAUUGCUGUUGAGCCUGUCGGUAUUGGAGGAGAAACAUGGCAGCAGGCAGAUCCCCUCUGCUUUUGAAUGCUGAGCUCCCAUCCUCCACUGAAGAUUAUUUUCUUGAAACAGAGAGGGGAAUUUUAAUU
rnacentral:lncRNA from 1 species